UCUCUCUCUCUCUCACUAAAUGCAUCACCAACACUUGCAUCCUCUUUCUCUCUAAAUUCUUUAUAUCAUUUAAUGUGUUUCAAGCUAGUUUAGUCAUAAAUUCACCAUCACAAUCAUCAUCUAAUCAUCAUAUCAAAAAUUUAAAGCUUAAAGUGCAAGAAAACUUGAUUUUUAUCUAAUUUUGGAUUUUUAGCUUCGGUGGAGUUUUGGUGGAUACGUGUGACGAUCAUUGGACGAUAAUAUUUGAUUAUAAACUUCUCUUUUGCCGAUCAAGGUGAACAGGUGAAUCAAAGACGUGUUGGAUGAUGAUUGAUUGUU